rnacentral:rRNA from 1 species
GAUAAACGCUGGCGGCGUGCCUAAUACAUGCAAGUCGAGCGAACGGACGAGAAGCUUGCUUCUCUGAUGUUAGCGGCGGACGGGUGAGUAACACGUGGAUAACCUACCUAUAAGACUGGGAUAACUUCGGGAAACCGGAGCUAAUACCGGAUAAUAUUUUGAACCGCAUGGUUCAAAAGUGAAAGACGGUCUUGCUGUCACUUAUAGAUGGAUCCGCGCUGCAUUAGCUAGUUGGUAAGGUAACGGCUUACCAAGGCAACGAUGCAUAGCCGACCUGAGAGGGUGAUCGGCCACACUGGAACUGAGACACGGUCCAGACUCCUACGGGAGGCAGCAGUAGGGAAUCUUCCGCAAUGGGCGAAAGCCUGACGGAGCAACGCCGCGUGAGUGAUGAAGGUCUUCGGAUCGUAAAACUCUGUUAUUAGGGAAGAACAUAUGUGUAAGUAACUGUGCACAUCUUGACGGUACCUAAUCAGAAAGCCACGGCUAACUACGUGCCAGCAGCCGCGGUAAUACGUAGGUGGCAAGCGUUAUCCGGAAUUAUUGGGCGUAAAGCGCGCGUAGGCGGUUUUUUAAGUCUGAUGUGAAAGCCCACGGCUCAGCCGUGGAGGGUCAUUGGAAACUGGAAAACUUGAGUGCAGAAGAGGAAAGUGGAAUUCCAUGUGUAGCGGUGAAAUGCGCAGAGAUAUGGAGGAACACCAGUGGCGAAGGCGACUUUCUGGUCUGUAACUGACGCUGAUGUGCGAAAGCGUGGGGAUCAAACAGGAUUAGAUACCCUGGUAGUCCACGCCGUAAACGAUGAGUGCUAAGUGUUAGGGGGUUUCCGCCCCUUAGUGCUGCAGCUAACGCAUUAAGCACUCCGCCUGGGGAGUACGACCGCAAGGUUGAAACUCAAAGGAAUUGACGGGGACCCGCACAAGCGGUGGAGCAUGUGGUUUAAUUCGAAGCAACGCGAAGAACCUUACCAAAUCUUGACAUCCUUUGACAACUCUAGAGAUAGAGCCUUCCCCUUCGGGGGACAAAGUGACAGGUGGUGCAUGGUUGUCGUCAGCUCGUGUCGUGAGAUGUUGGGUUAAGUCCCGCAACGAGCGCAACCCUUAAGCUUAGUUGCCAUCAUUAAGUUGGGCACUCUAAGUUGACUGCCGGUGACAAACCGGAGGAAGGUGGGGAUGACGUCAAACCAUCAUGCCCCUUAUGAUUUGGGCUACACACGUGCUACAAUGGACAAUACAAAGGGCAGCGAAACCGCGAGGUCAGGCAAAUCCCAUAAAGUUGUUCUCAGUUCGGAUUGUAGUCUGCAACUCGACUACAUGAAGCUGGAAUCGCUAGUAAUCGUAGAUCAGCAUGCUACGGUGAAUACGUUCCCGGGUCU